UGACUCAGUUAUGAAGAAUUGGGAAAACUGCCUUAUUGUGGUUUCCUUUGUUGAUGGCAGAUUCAGAAGACAUAUGUGAUCAUGUGAAUGUGGCUAGCAGAAGAGAGGUGGCUCUAGUGCAUGUUGCAUUCUGGAUUUGUUUUGUGCCUGCGAGGAGUUGAAUUCCUGAGCACUGGAGAAGAUCUAACCAUAUUGGCACUGGCUCUGCUCAUGACAGUACAGUGGGGCAGGUAA
rnacentral:lncRNA from 1 species